UUAGCUUGUUGGCGGGGUAACGGCCCACCAAGGCAACGAUCAGUAGGGGUUCUGAGAGGAAGGUCCCCCACAUUGGAACUGAGACACGGUCCAAACUCCUACGGGAGGCAGCAGUGAGGAAUAUUGGUCAAUGGACGAGAGUCUGAACCAGCCAAGUAGCGUGCAGGAAGACGGCCCUAUGGGUUGUAAACUGCUUUUAUAAGGGAAUAAAGUGAGAGUCGUGACUCUUUUUGCAUGUACCUUAUGAAUAAGGACCGGCUAAUUCCGUGCCAGCAGCCGCGGUAAUACGGAAGGUCCGGGCGUUAUCCGGAUUUAUUGGGUUUAAAGGGAGCGUAGGCCGGAGAUUAAGCGUGUUGUGAAAUGUAGACGCUCAACGUCUGCACUGCAGCGCGAACUGGUUUCCUUGAGUACGCACAAAGUGGGCGGAAUUCGUGGUGUAGCGGUGAAAUGCUUAGAUAUCACGAAGAACUCCGAUUGCGAAGGCAGCUCACUGGAGCGCAACUGACGCUGAAGCUCGAAAGUGCGGGUAUCGAACAGGAUUAGAUACCCUGGUAGUCCGCACGGUAAACGAUGGAUGCCCGCUGUUGGUCUGAAUAGGUCAGCGGCCAAGCGAAAGCAUUAAGCAUCCCACCUGGGGAGUACGCCGGCAACGGUGAAACUCAAAGGAAUUGACGGGGGCCCGCACAAGCGGAGGAACAUGUGGUUUAAUUCGAUGAUACGCGAGGAACCUUACCCGGGCUUGAAUUGCAGAGGAAGGAUUUGGAGACAAUGACGCCCUUCGGGGCCUCUGUGAAGGUGCUGCAUGGUUGUCGUCAGCUCGUGCCGUGAGGUGUCGGCUUAAGUGCCAUAACGAGCGCAACCCCUCUCCUUAGUUGCCAUCAGGUUAAGCUGGGCACUCUGGGGACACUGCCACCGUAAGGUGUGAGGAAGGUGGGGAUGACGUCAAAUCAGCACGGCCCUUACGUCCGGGGCUACACACGUGUUACAAUGGCAGGUACAGAGAGACGGUCCCUUGCAAAACGGAUCAAAUCCUUAAAGCCUGUCUCAGUUCGGACUGGGGUCUGCAACCCGACCCCACGAAGCUGGAUUCGCUAGUAAUCGCGCAUCAGCCAUGGCGCGGUGAAUACGUUCCCGGGCCUUGUACACACCGCCCGUCAAGCCAUGAAAGCCGGGGGCGCCUAAAGUCCGUGACCGUAAGGAGCGGCCUAGGGCGAAACUGGUAAUUGGGGCUAAGUCGUAACAAGGUA
rnacentral:rRNA from 1 species